rnacentral:rRNA from 1 species
UACGGGGGGGGCAAGCGUUGUCCGGAAUCACUGGGCGUAAAGGGCGCGUAGGCGGUCUGCUAAGCGUGUGGUGAAAGCUCGGGGCUCAACCCCGAGUCUGCCAUGCGAACUGGUGGACUUGAGCACUGUAGAGGCAGGUGGAAUUCCGGGUGUAGCGGUGGAAUGCGUAGAGAUCCGGAAGAACACCGGUGGCGAAGGCGGCCUGCUGGGCAGUUGCUGACGCUGAGGCGCGACAGCGUGGGGAGCAAACAGG